UUCCUCUAUUGUCAAUCGCCAAUAUUCUUCUUCAUUGGCUCUAUAAAACUGAGAGGCUUGUGAUCUGUAUAUAAAUAGAAAAAAUUGAGCUCAUCGUUAUCUUCUAUCUACUCAUAAAUUUUCUUGAGGCUUCUCAUUUUGAUGGGACCUUGAUGAUGGCCGAUCUAUUACUACUAUCCUUCCCAGAAGAUGAAAGAUCUCUUCCAGGAGAAGAUGUAGUUUGUUGAGGAGAUGUUUGAGAAGAUGUUGGUGAAGCUAGUGGUUGAAACUCCUAUGAAGAUUCAUCAGAUUAAUCAGUCAC
rnacentral:lncRNA from 1 species